rnacentral:lncRNA from 1 species
CUAUGUUACACACAAAAUGUUGCAUCACCAUGUGAGUGGGAUUUCAAGGAAUAUCUUGUCCAGCUCAACGUUUGCUUUUGUGGAAAGAAGUAAUUGCACAUCCAAAUCCUUCUCCGGUGGGAAAAUGGCAUGUAAAUAAUUGUUCUUUUGUUUUCAUUUUGAUUGGGUUUGGUUUGUUUUUUCCUCUCUCCCUCCUCUGGGAAGGUAUCCAGCCAGGUAGCAAGAGUAACAAAGUAACAAAAAAGUUGAAGGACACACUCCAAGCCAACACUGGUGGAGCCUCUAUGGCAGCCAUCAUUCCAGCUGCUGUUCUCCCAGCCUGACCUGCUCAUGCCAGUGCCAGACCUAAUAGCUCAAAUAGGAGGAGUAGGGAUGCUCUGAUUGUUUCAGGUCAGCUUGAGCUUGGUAUCUCCAGUUUUCGUCCUAUUUUGCCUUUUACAGCAGGGGAAACUGGUCAUCUCUGGGGUAAGCUAGGGCUAAGCCUACUGUCUGAGAAGUGGUCAAAGUGCCAUGAAAUGGAAUUUGUGGAUGAAACAGCUGUCCUGGCAAAAUUCCUUAUGUGAAUGCAUAAGCACAAACAAAACUUACCUUUAAUAGGGCUAGCUUUCAAAGUGGCAAUGCUGCAGAAUUUUGUAGAGUUUUUCACCUGUAAAGCUCAAGUCCUAAAUUAGGCGUUAUGUUUCUGUUCCAUUUUACAGCUGAAAUAACUGAGAAGCAAGGAGCUGGAAUGGGUUAGUGCCUACAACCUGUCUCCUGAUUUCUGUGCCAGGAAGUCCAUCUUUCUAUAGGGAGUGGAAAUGAAGGCAUUACAUGGAUGAAAGUCUGGAUCAUCCUGGGGAAGGUCCAUCACUAUAACCUUUUGAUCUGUGGGGAAAAAGGCCUACAGGACUUCAUGCGCAAAUAUAAUCCAGAAACUUUCUCUUCUGGUCCCAGGAACCAGAAGACUGUCGUGAGGAGGCCUUGUCUGGCACUGAUUCUUCUCUCCCUGGAGCCUCACACAAUAGGUCAAUCUCUACUUGGUGGAGGCCCCUUAGGGAUCAUGGCCAGCUUGCACAGAUUAAGGUUCCUGGAUUACUGCUUUAAUUUUUGUAUAUGGAACACAGCUAGAGAGUGGGAAGGAUUGCUCUGAAGCAGUGGCCAGCUCGGUAAAGGUAAUGACAUCUCAGGUAAGCUUUCCAUUGGCUUUACACCAGAAACUUUGCUUUACCUAAGCAAUAAAUAUCC